rnacentral:rRNA from 1 species
GUUAACCCGUGUGGGGUAGCCGCAGCGAAAGCGAGUCUGAAUAGGGCGACCCACACGCGCAUACGCGCGUGUGAAUAGUGGCGUGUUCUGGACCCGAAGCGGAGUGAUCUACCCAUGGCCAGGGUGAAGCGCGGGUAAGACCGCGUGGAGGCCCGAACCCACUUAGGUUGAAGACUGAGGGGAUGAGCUGUGGGUAGGGGUGAAAGGCCAAUCAAACUCCGUGAUAGCUGGUUCUCCCCGAAAUGCAUUUAGGUGCAGCGUUGCGUGGUUCACCGCGGAGGUAGAGCUACUGGAUGGCCGAUGGGCCCUACUAGGUUACUGACGUCAGCCAAACUCCGAAUGCCGUGGUGUAAAGCGUGGCAGUGAGACGGCGGGGGAUAAGCUCCGUACGUCGAAAGGGAAACAGCCCAGAUCGCCGGCUAAGGCCCCCAAGCGUGUGCUAAGUGGGAAAGGAUGUGCAGUCGCAAAGACAACCAGGAGGUUGGCUUAGAAGCAGCCACCCUUGAAAGAGUGCGUAAUAGCUCACUGGUCAAGUGAUUGUGCGCCGAUAAUGUAGCGGGGCUCAAGCACACCGCCGAAGCCGCGGCACAUCCACCUUGUGGUGGGUGUGGGUAGGGGAGCGUCCCUCAUUCAGCGAAGCCACCGGGUGACCGGUGGUGGAGGGUGGGGGAGUGAGAAUGCAGGCAUGAGUAGCGACAAGGCAAGUGAGAACCUUGCCCGCCGAAAGACCAAGGGUUCCUGGGCCAGGCCAGUCCGCCCAGGGUGAGUCGGGACCUAAGGCGAGGCCGACAGGCGUAGUCGAUGGACAACGGGUUGAUAUUCCCGUACCCGUGUGUGGGCGCCCGUGACGAAUCAGCGGUACUAACCACCCAAAACCGGAUCGAUCACUCCCCUUCGGGGGUGUGGAGUUCUGGGGCUGCGUGGGAACUUCGCUGGUAGUAGUCAAGCGAAGGGGUGACGCAGGAAGGUAGCCGUACCAGUCAGUGGUAACACUGGGGCAAGCCGGUAGGGAGAGCGAUAGGCAAAUCCGUCGCUCACUAAUCCUGAGAGGUGACGCAUAGCCGGUUGAGGCGAAUUCGGUGAUCCUCUGCUGCCAAGAAAAGCCUCUAGCGAGCACACACACGGCCCGUACCCCAAACCGACACAGGUGGUCAGGUAGAGCAUACCAAGGCGUACGAGAUAACUAUGGUUAAGGAACUCGGCAAAAUGCCCCCGUAACUUCGGGAGAAGGGGGACCGGAAUAUCGUGAACACCCUUGCGGUGGGAGCGGGAUCCGGUCGCAGAAACCAGUGAGGAGCGACUGUUUACUAAAAACACAGGUCCGUGCGAAGUCGCAAGACGAUGUAUACGGACUGACGCCUGCCCGGUGCUGGAAGGUUAAGAGGACCCGUUAACCCGCAAGGGUGAAGCGGAGAAUUUAAGCCCCAGUAAACGGCGGUGGUAACUAUAACCAUCCUAAGGUAGCGAAAUUCCUUGUCGGGUAAGUUCCGACCUGCACGAAUGGCGUAACGACUUCUCAACUGUCUCAACCAUAGACUCGGCGAAAUUGCACUACGAGUAAAGAUGCUCGUUACGCGCGGCAGGACGAAAAGACCCCGGGACCUUCACUACAACUUGGUAUUGAUGUUCGGUACGGUUUGUGUAGGAUAGGUGGGAGACUGUGAAACCUCGACGCCAGUUGGGGCGGAGUCAUUGUUGAAAUACCACUCUGAUCGUAUUGGGCAUCUAACCUCGAACCCUGAAUCGGGUUUAGGGACAGUGCCUGGCGGGUAGUUUAACUGGGGCGGUUGCCUCCUAAAAUGUAACGGAGGCGCCCAAAGGUUCCCUCAACCUGGACGGCAAUCAGGUGGCGAGUGUAAAUGCACAAGGGAGCUUGACUGCGAGACUUACAAGUCAAGCAGGGACGAAAGUCGGGAUUAGUGAUCCGGCACCCCCGAGUGGAAGGGGUGUCGCUCAACGGAUAAAAGGUACCCCGGGGAUAACAGGCUGAUCUUCCCCAAGAGUCCAUAUCGACGGGAUGGUUUGGCACCUCGAUGUCGGCUCGUCGCAUCCUGGGGCUGGAGCAGGUCCCAAGGGUUGGGCUGUUCGCCCAUUAAAGCGGCACGCGAGCUGGGUUUAGAACGUCGUGAGACAGUUCGGUCUCUAUCCGCCGCGCGCGUCAGAAACUUGAGGAAACCUGUCCCUAGUACGAGAGGACCGGGACGGACGAACCUCUGGUGCACCAGUUGUCCCGCCAGGGGCACCGCUGGAUAGCCACGUUCGGUCAGGAUAACCGCUGAAAGCAUCUAAGCGGGAAACCUUCUCCAAGAUCAGGUUUCUCACCCACUUGGUGGGAUAAGGCCCCCCGCAGAACACGGGUUCAAUAGGUCAGACCUGGAAGCUCAGUAAUGGGUGUAGGGAACUGGUGCUAACCGGCCGAAAACUUACAACACCC